rnacentral:rRNA from 1 species
UACGUAGGGCGCAAGCGUUAUCCGGAAUUAUUGGGCGUAAAGAGCUCGUAGGCGGUUUGUCGCGUCUGCCGUGAAAGUCCGGGGCUCAACUCCGGAUCUGCGGUGGGUACGGGCAGACUAGAGUGAUGUAGGGGAGACUGGAAUUCCUGGUGUAGCGGUGAAAUGCGCAGAUAUCAGGAAGAACACCCGUGGCGAAGGCGGUUCUCUGGGACGGUACUGACGCUGAGACGCGAAGCGUGGGGAGCGAACAGG